AUUUUUCUAGUAUACAAAGUAUAAUUGACUUCCAAUCAGUAGGUCUGGGCUACCAGGAAAAAUA
rnacentral:tRNA from 1 species